CAGGGGGUAUUUUAUAUAAAAUAUUAGUUUUGGGGAUUAAUGAAAUAGCUUGAUGCUUUUCCCUUGA
rnacentral:tRNA from 1 species